rnacentral:lncRNA from 1 species
AUCUCUCAGCCCCACCUGUAUGGAUUUUUUGAGACAGGAUCUUAUGAAUUACAAGGUGAACUGGAUUUAGUAUGGAGGUGAUGGCGCCACCGCGACACAGUUACUGUCCUGCUGGCUUCCUGCCUAGAGUUCCUGUCCUGGCUUCUCUGGAUGAUAAAGUACAAACUGCGUCUGUUUCUAUUGAGAUCUUCGGCUCUCCGUUUCUUGGAGCUCGUGUAACCUAGCGUCAGUGCCGUGCCGUCACUCCACUGGACUGCAGCCUAGUACACGUGGAGGCCGAGGUCUGAACCGUGGCUCAGAGAUCUCCAGGAAUAUCUGCUUCCUUCCUUCCUUCUUCCCAAGUCUGAGUGAACUGGAUUCCUUGAACUCUUCUGAGGGAUGACAUCAGUGUCUGUCAGAAGGGAAAAGAGCAUGGCUCUGCGCCUACUCAUGCUUGCCUUCCUUAGCCACGACGCACAAGCAACAGCCUCACAGAGAACUUGGCCGAGUGGCGCUGAGCAGCAGCUGGCUUCCAAGUGCUCCUUCCUCCAGAAUUCAUUAGGUAGGCGCAGGAGAGCCUCUUCCCCGACGGUUCUACAACAACCCAACAGUCACACGGGAAUGGUGUCCCCCUGGAAACGUGAACUUGAGCUUUUUAGUUCCUUUUGAACCAGCUGAGGACAGUUUGAAACAUUCAAACAAAACUUUAGAAGUAUCUCUGGACAACAAAAGGAAAUGAGAAGCUAGGCUUACCGCACACACUUUUCAGCUCCCGCUCAGAGCUUCAAGAGCUGCUAUCUUAGGUGACAUAACGUGUUGCCUUAAGAGCCUGUCCUCCUAUCACUCUGCUUGCCCUCCCUCACCUUUGAUUGGGGAGGAGUUGUGGGAUGCCAAGACUUAGGCGUUGAGAGGCCAUCAGAACACUGGCUGAUGUGAGCAUCUGGAUAAAAAUCUGGUGAUUGGAACGACAGCUCUAAUCAACACACUUUCUCCUUGGUGUACUAGUCACUGCUCUACGAAAAGCCUUAUGGGAAACACUUGAAGAACACUGGCAUAUUGGUUAACUUUUCUAACAUAACAAAUUACCCCAUAGGUCUAGUGACCUUAAAAUAGCAAUCAAGGGAUGGGGAUUGUAGCUAAGUGGCAGAAAGCCUUAGCACGUACGAGGAGGCCUUGGGUUCAAUACCUAGCAAACACGAACAAAAACUAUCACUUCUCAUCACUCUGUGGAUAAAUUGGGUGGUUAUUUUGGCCUAGGUCAGCUGGGGUUGGUUAGUAUAGAAUGGCUUUAUUCAUGGUCUGUGGGUUUGGCAGACUACAGGCUCAGGAGCUCAGCUUGAAUAACCCCAUUCUCCUCUAUACGGCCAUGAGUUAAUUAGUAGCAAAGCCCGGCUUCUUCCCUUGCUCAUCUCAAUUUCCAAAGAGCAGUAUGCAUGGACUGAUCCCAGUGCAUAAACCCUCCUCAAAAUUUUGCUUCUGUCGCAUUUGCUAUUACACCAGUGGCCCAAAUAAGUCAUAUGGGGAGAGUUUAGCAGCAGUGUGAGAGCAGCCACCGGGAUGGAUAGCAGGGGUUAGGGGAGGACAUCACUGUGAGCAGCUGAGAAGAAGAAACACGAAGGAAGGUGAUCCACGUGCUGUUGAGAGCUGUGGCCUCCAUCUUACUGGGCUUUAACCCUGCUGAGGAGGGCAGGGAAGUUGGCACAAACUCAGCUUCUAGCAGCGUCAGGCAUGUGUGGAAGCACCUAUGGCUAUAUUUGGGCCUGUAGAAACGUUACUCAAAGGUUUCUGCUUUCUGC